CCACGAUGACUAGGGGGUCUGAGAGGAUGAUCCCCCACACUGGUACUGAGACACGGACCAGACUCCUACGGGAGGCAGCAGUGAGGAAUAUUGGGCAAUGGACGCAAGUCUGACCCAGCCAUGCCGCGUGCAGGAUGACUGCCCUAUGGGUUGUAAACUGCUUUUGUUUGGGAAGAAACCCCCGAUCGUGAUCGGGGCUGACGGUACCAUACGAAUAAGCAUCGGCCAACUCCGUGCCAGCAGCCGCGGUAAUACGGAGGAUGCAAGCGUUAUCCGGAUUCAUAGGGUUUAAAGGGUGCGCAGGCGGAAUAUUAAGUCAGUGGUGAAAUCCUGCAGCUUAACUGUAGAACUGCCAUUGAUACUGAUAUACUUGAAUAUAGUUGAGGUGGGCGGAAUGUGUAAUGUAGCGGUGAAAUGCUUAGAUAUUACACAGAACACCAAUUUGCGAAGGCAGCUCACUAAACUAAUAUUGACGCUGAGGCACGAAAGCGUGGGUAGCAAACAGGAUUAGAUACCCUGGUAGUCCACGCUGUAAACUAUGAUCACUCGCUGUUGGCAAUACAUCGUCAGCGGCUGAGCGAAAGCAUUAAGUGAUCCACCUGGGGAGUACGGUCGCAAGAUUGAAACUCAAAGGAAUUGACGGGGGCCCGCACAAGCGGAGGAACAUGUGGUUUAAUUCGAUGAUACGCGAGGAACCUUACCUGGGCUUAAAUGCAGAGCGACGUCCGCCGAAAGGUGGAUUCCUUCGGGCGAUCUGCAAGGUGCUGCAUGGUUGUCGUCAGCUCGUGCCGUGAGGUGUCGGGUUAAGUCCCAUAACGAGCGCAACCCUUAUCGUUAGUUGCCAGCGGGUAAUGCCGGGGACUCUAACGAAACUGCCGGUGUAAACCGUGAGGAAGGUGGGGAUGACGUCAAAUCAGCACGGCCCUUAUGUCCAGGGCUACACACGUGUUACAAUGGUCGGUACAGAGGGCAGCUACCACGCAAGUGGAUGCUAAUCUCGAAAACCGGUCUCAGUUCGGAUUGAAGUCUGCAACUCGACUUCAUGAAGCUGGAUUCGCUAGUAAUCGCGCAUCAGCCAUGGCGCGGUGAA
rnacentral:rRNA from 1 species